UGACGGCUGACGAGGCGCUGCCUGCCGACUGCCAGGGCGGCCGACUCGACGCCCUGGAACGGCUUCCGGCGGAAAGGACUCUCCGUUAGGCCGGGAUCCGAUCCUACCGGAAGAGUUUUACCCGUUCUUGCUGGUUGGCUGUGGUGCUGAGGAGAAACUAUGAUUGGAUGGAGUGUGCUUUUUUUCUAGAAGAUUCCAUGAAGCUUCCCAGCAAGUCUUUCAUUUCCUCCUCGUUACUGUCUGCAACAUCCAGUUUUCUAGAAAUUACAGAAUGCCCAUCUAACUAUCGACACUUGGAAAGCGAACUAUGAAUAGAUGGCUGCAAUAGAAUAAGCAUCCAGGGCUUUAGAGACAUAUCCCAGAGGAAUCUAGAUCUCUCUCCUAAAUAUCCAGUAAGGAAAUGGAGAUUUAUCAAAAAAGACAGUUAAAUACUUGGACUUUAUCCCCUGCGAUGUAUCUACUUAUCAAGACAAGUUCUGCAGGAGAAAUAUCUAAAUCAACCUCCAAUAUUAGUGGGACCAGAAAGUCUGAUGGAACGGAGGGAAAGUUGUAAACCUGACAGGCUCUACCGACUGGGAUCUGCUCCCCCACAGUUUCCUACCACCCAGAGCCGAGUACACCUUAACACAAGAAUUGAAACUGAACCAACAGUGGGUCAGGAAGUCCAGAUUUAGUGUACAUUCAUAAAUAUUUGUCACUGUUUGUAGAAAAAUAAAAAUAUGACCGAUUCUAAGUUAA